CCAGCAAACCCCGCCGCCACCAGCGCCACUGUGCCGGCCUCCGCCUGCCGUGCAUCGCCGCCACCACGCCGGCCUCCGCCAGCCACGCACCGCUGCCCGUGCCGUGCCGGGUUGUGCCGUCGCUGGCCGAGCCGCCCCGCCCGUGCUGCGCCAGCCGAAGCCGCCGCCGUCGCACGGGCUCCGCGCGCCUCUGUUGGCCGCGGAGUCGGCCUCGCCCGCCGCCGCACCACCGGGCGCCGCCCACGCCGUCGCCACCGAAGCCGGCCGCUCCUCCUUCCCCGGGAGCCAGAUCCGGCGUCGCCGCACGCCGGCGAGCCCGCCGUCACAGCCUCUACCCUGCCGCCAACUUCGCCUCCUACGCCCUCGCCGCCACUGCAUCCUCUGCUGCACCGCCGCCUCCUUCACCCCCCCCCCCCCGCCGCCUCCUCCACCCCGCCGCCUUCUUCACCUCGCCAGCCGGCCGGGCAGGCCGGCGCCGCCGUCUUCGCGCCCCAGGCCGCGUCGGUGCCCCCACCGCCGACGGGAGGGAGAGACGAAGCCCCGCCGCCGCCGUCCUUGUGGCCGAGCGGCUUUGCCAGCGGCCGCUCGGGCGGCGGCGAGGCGGCAGAGGUAGGAGGGGGGAUCGGACGACGGCGGCGGUGGUGUCCGCCUCCCGUGUCGCCCGUGAGGAAGGACGACGCGGGGCCUAUGGCUUAG
rnacentral:lncRNA from 1 species